CAGUAGCCGCGGGAAUACGUAGGUGGCAAGCGUUGUCCGGAAUUAUUGGGCGUAAAGGGCUCGCAGGCGGUUUCUUAAGUCUGAUGUGAAAGCCCCCGGCUCAACCGGGGAGGGUCAUUGGAAACUGGGAAACUUGAGUGCAGAAGAGGAGAGUGGAAUUCCACGUGUAGCGGUGAAAUGCGUAGAGAUGUGGAGGAACACCGGUGGCGAAGGCGACUCUCUGGUCUGUAACUGACGCUGAGGAGCGAAAGCGUGGGGAGCGAACAGGAUUAGAUACCCGCGUAGUCCCUGUCUCUUAUAC
rnacentral:rRNA from 1 species